GCGGUGAUCGGCCCCGGCCGAUGUGCCUAGGGUAUAAUAGGGUCACUUAAUCGGUGACCCAAUUAAGCCCCGACUAGUCGGCCUAGUUGGGGCUAGGCUUUUUUUUUUUUUUAAAUAUCCAUCCAAAAUGACGUCUUUUUGGAUGGAUUUUAACAAAAAAAAAAAAAACAUAGCUGCAGCCCUAAAUCGCGACAGAACCAGACUACCGGUGUUCUUCUUCUUCCUCCCCAUUUUCGCGCCAGAACAACCAGGUUCUUCCUCCCCAUUUUCGAGCUUGAGUAGCAUGGUUGGUUGGGCUUAGGUCAGUGCAGCACACAAAGAGAGGCUUGAAGAGGUAAGGUUUCUAUUGUUUGAUUAUGCAUGUCGAGUCACUGAAAUGAAGAGAUCUGUGGUUGAUAUGAAUCUUGGUCCGUUGGUGAAGAUUGUGAUGACUCGGUGCACUGCAUUCAAUGUAUAAGGUCUAGACCCAGAAUUGCUUAUAUCUCACUUCUUCUUCUUUUCUGUCCAUGUAUUAUGACGUUUAGAGUGCCUUCUUUGAAUUUAUUCUAGGACUGAUUCAUAAAUAGAUAACUGAACAGCACUUUGUUGAGGACACCAAGAUUUGAUUUGAGUAACUGAUACAUUGAUUGGAUUAUCAUGAUAUAUUGAUUGGAUGAUUUUUUGCAUUUAUAUUGUGUUUUUUACACAUUUAUAUAUGAUAUGUAUUGCAUAUAUAUAUAUAUUUUAAUUAAAAAAACUCAAAACGAUUAAUCCGAUUAAUCCCUAGUGCCCGUUAACCUCCUAGCGGUCAACUAGCGAUUUUUACAACCUUGCCUGUUGCCUAAGGAGAUAAGGUUGUUGCCUUGACCAGUGGACAACAAAGCUUGUAUUAGGGUUUCCCUCAAUGUGGUUAAAGGCGAAAGGCACAACCCAUCAAACGCCCGAGGUGCAAGGCGCACGCCCCAAGCGAAGCUAGGCACAAUUUUUCUUUAAAAAAGAUAAAUAUUUGAUAAAACUUAAAAAUGUGGCAUAGUAUAUUUCACUGAUAGUCAAAACUGAAGCUAAAAGGAAAUUGAUUGAAGCAUGCAUUAAUUUGUUCUUUGUCAUUCAAAAGAGCCUUUUAUUAUAGGUACCAUAGUUUUAAACACCCUAUUAUCUAAUAGGGUAAUAAUAUAUAUAUAUUAUCCAGGAUUGUACUGGUAAAGUAGAUUCAAACAGUCAAUGAGUGAAGUAAAGGUAGGUCAGGGCCCAUUUUUCAAAUUCAUAGAUAGAGAAAGAGAAACAUACUUCAGGUGCUUUUUUCUUGGCCUUUAUGCCUCUAUAGAUCGAGGGCUUAAAGUUUUGUACUUCACAUGCUUUUUGUAGCCAUUUUCCCUCUAUAGAACUGGGGGCACGCGCCUAGGGAGUGUUGCACCUGGUCUAAGGCGCGUGUAGGCCAGGCCCGACUGAAGGCAGGUGACUCAGGCUAGGCGAGGCCACGCCUCGCAUGGUGCGCACCUCCAUGCCUUGUGACAACACUUCCUACUACGUCUUCUACAAUGUAAAUGUGUGAAGAGUUUGUCGAAAAAUCAAAAAUUCCUUUCCAACACAGAGUAGAAGAUUCAUGGGAAAUGAUCCACGUUCAAACUUCCAUUUAGUUCCGAAAAAAUAUAAUGCACACAAACAUGUCAAAAUGCAACUUGAGAUUUCUAUUUUCCCAAAAAAAAUAAUCUUUUUAAUGAAAAAAUAUGUUUUCUUCAUGAUACACCAAGCAGGUGAAACCCUAAGAGGAUAGCGUUACUAUGCAACUUCAAUUUUAUAACCAAUUAGCAAACCUCGACACAUGAGAAUUUGAUAAACCCAUAUAAUAUACACAACCACAGAAACCCAUAAGCAAAAACCCCUGAAUGAUCAUAAUGAAAUCUGUAUCACUAAACUACUAAUUAAUCUAAGUUUCGACCACAUAAAGAAGUAAAUAAAAAAACUGAAGAAUAAAGUGGUUUGCUGUUAUAGACGAACCUUAAGUUGGGAGGAGAAAAAUAACAACUCCAGAUAACAACAAUUGCACAGGAAGUUACAUUUAAUCCAAACUAGUAGAGUUAAGGUCAACCUGAACUAGCAAAUCCUUCCAAAAACAUGAACAAAAAUGAACUAGAUACCUAAGUUUAACAUGACCUAGGAACAUAAGCUUGAUGAAAAUGAGCACUCGGAUAUCCUCAUUUGUGUCAUCUGUGCACUUUUGAGUCCCUCACUUUUUCCUAUUCUUGGAUAGGGACUGGAAUUGCAGAGGUUAUUCUGAACUCAUAAAAAGCCGCGUUGAUUUCUCAUUUCUCAUCUGGCCAUUAAUAAAAAGAAAUCUCUCAGGUACUAUCUACUGCAUCUAAUAUUUUUUAUCGAAGGGCUCCCAAAAGUUUUCAAAGGGAAUUCCCAUCAACUUGCUAAUAUCUGCCUCCUCUCUAACAAAGAAUAAACUAAAUAGAAUAUAUAAAUAGCCCUGGACAAGUAAACCGCUAACUGAUAAGCAAAGCCAAACCUAAGUGACCCCAUUUACCUAAAUUUAGCACAGAAAGAGGCAACUAGAAUUACAUAUACAACACAACUCCUUCAAUUCCCCUAGUUUUUCCAUAUGCGUCGAAUCUUUCACCAGCUAAUUGCAAUAGUUUACACUGAAAUGACGGUCAAGAUCCUAGGACCAUCUAGCUGACUGCUGAUUGUUUGGGCAUUGACAGACUAAAAAGCCAAUUCUGACAAACAAUAAAAGAAAAAAAAAUUUCCAAGCAGCAAGAAGUCAUCAAUAUCAGUUGACUAACAAUACCAGACGGAAAAUCUUCACAACCUCGACGCAUAUGUAGGAGCACGAGCAAAAAAGCAAUGAUCACAGAUUAACAACGCGGGACCGUAAUGCAUAUUAUAGCCCUAGUUAAAUAAGACCCAAUGACAUCAAACUUCACCAAAUUUUAUAACUUCAAAUAA